ACAUGUGAGAACUGGAGAGAGCGCUUUCAUUACAGUGAUCAGAGUUGGCCAGGGAGGGACUGACUUUUCUGACCUGCUCCAACAGACUCUCGGGACUCUUCCUCCUCUCCCCAUCUCAUCCCAAGUCUUCCAGUUACCCCUUUUCCUGCUCCUAAGACAUCUGGCCAUGGGGAUCAUCGUCUGAGGACCACAGUGUGCCAGGGAACUGAAUUUUAGCAGAGGCAUUGUGAAGACCGAGAAGGCAUGAGGCCAGCGCAGGACCAGUUUCUGAUGUUUGCCCCCUUGGGGUGACUGCUUACCAGCCUGAUGAACUGUCAAACAUUCUCACAGCCCCUGGAGAAGGAAAAAUUGAAGAUUUGACGGUUGACUUUUGGGAUACAUGUCCCUCCAGCAUUUGAAUUUGUAAUUCUGGAAAUUUACUCAAUACUGGGUCGUCUUGGGCCACUGAGAGAAUCUCUGCCACCUCAGCCUGCCAGGGCUGCAUGUCACUACAGCCACUGAAGCUCAGCUUGUUGAGACUGAAGGAUUGACACAUGCCUGCUCCUUCCGG